rnacentral:rRNA from 1 species
UCUUCGGAAGGAAGAUAAAGUGACUGAGCGGCGGACGGGUGAGUAACGCGUGGGUAACCUGCCUCAUACAGGGGGAUAACAGUUAGAAAUGGCUGCUAAUACCGCAUAAGCGCACAGGACCGCAUGGUCUGGUGUGAAAAACUCCGGUGGUAUGGGAUGGACCCGCGUUGGAUUAGCUAGUUGGUGGGGUAACGGCCUACCAAGGCGACGAUCCAUAGCCGGCCUGAGAGGGUGGACGGCCACAUUGGGACUGAGACACGGCCCAGACUCCUACGGGAGGCAGCAGUAGGGAAUAUUGCACAAUGGGGGAAACCCUGAUGCAGCGACGCCGCGUGAAGGAAGAAGUAUCUCGGUAUGUAAACUUCUAUCAGCAGGGAAGACAAUGACGGUACCUGACUAAGAAGCCCCGGCUAACUACGUGCCAGCAGCCGCGGUAAUACGUAGGGGGCAAGCGUUAUCCGGAUUUACUGGGUGUAAAGGGAGCGUAGACGGACGGGCAAGUCUGAAGUGAAAGGCAGGGGCUCAACCCCUGGACUGCUUUGGAAACUGUCCAUCUAGAGUGCCGGAGAGGUAAGCGGAAUUCCUAGUGUAGCGGUGAAAUGCGUAGAUAUUAGGAGGAA